rnacentral:rRNA from 1 species
UGCCUCGUCAUCUAAUUAGUGACGCGCAUGAAUGGAUCAACGAGAUUCCACUGUCCCUACUUACUAUCUGGUGAAACCGCAGCCAAGGGAACGGACUUGGCAAUAUCAGCGGGGGAAAGAAGACCCUGUUGAGCUUGACUCUAGUCCGACUUUGUGAAAUAUCUUUAGGGGUGUAGAUAAGUGGGAGGGUAACCAAUCUUGAAAUACCACUACCUUAAAUGAUGUUUUACUUAUUUGAUUAUUAGAAAAUUUACUUUUAGUAUUAAGCAAUCAUUAGAUUGUGAUUCUUUUCAAAGACAUUGUCAGAUGGGGAGUUUGGCUGGGGCGGCACAUUUGCUAAAAGAUAACGCAAGUGUCCAAAGAUGAACUCAAUGAGAACAGAAAUCUCAUGUAGAACAAAAGGGGUAAAAGUUCAUUUGAUCUUAACUUUCAGUAUGAGUUUAGACCGUGAAAGCGUGGCCUAUCGAUCCUUUAAAGUUAUUUCGAGAUUUGAAGUUAGAGGUGUCAGAAAAGUUACCACAGGG